AUUGAACGCUGGCGGCAUGCCUUACACAUGCAAGUCGAACGGUAACAGGUCUUCGGAUGCUGACGAGUGGCGAACGGGUGAGUAAUACAUCGGAACGUGCCCAAUCGUGGGGGAUAGCUCGGCGAAAGCCGGAUUAAUACCGCAUACGAUCUACGGAUGAAAGCAGGGGAUCGCAAGACCUUGCGCGAAUGGAGUGGCCGAUGGCAGAUUAGGUAGUUGGUGGGGUAAAGGCUCACCAAGCCGACGAUCUGUAGCUGGUCUGAGAGGACGACCAGCCACACUGGGACUGAGACACGGCCCAGACUCCUACGGGAGGCAGCAGUGGGGAAUUUUGGACAAUGGGCGCAAGCCUGAUCCAGCAAUGCCGCGUGUAGGAUGAAGGCCUUCGGGUUGUAAACUGCUUUUGUACGGAACGAAAAAGCUCUGGCUAAUACCCGGGGCUCAUGACGGUACCGUAAGAAUAAGCACCGGCUAACUACGUGCCAGCCGCCGCCGUAAAAC
rnacentral:rRNA from 1 species